AUUACCUGAUAACUAGGGGAUACUCUUCCCCCAAGCUGGAUGUUUGUAAUACUUGGUGUUGAUGUCCUUUAUGGUUGUGAGACAUGACACUUGUGCUUUAUGAUGAUAUUAUAUAUGUCAUGUGUUUUUGGCUCAUAUUGUAUUGCUUCCGUAUUUCUACUCCGAUAUCCUAUGAGCCAUAUGUUGUUAUAUUCUGUUGUACACAUCUCACAUAUUUGGAUGCAGGAUAUUAGGCUUGGUUGAUAUAAGCAUGACUAAUCCUUUUUUGAUCUUAUUGUCAAAUGCUUAUAGAAACCAAGUCAUUUGAAAACCUCACUUUAAACAUACUCGAGGUUAUUGUCAUCAAUCAACAAAAAGGUGGAGAUUGAAAGCAUCUAGGCGUCUAAUGAGUUUCGGUGAUUAAUGACAAUGUUGAUUACUAUGACUAACUUAUGUUUUGCAGAGGCAAAGUCAUCUAUGUUAGCUAAUGGUAAUGGUGAUCAAUGGACUAGAUCAUUCGUGUAACACCC
rnacentral:lncRNA from 1 species